rnacentral:rRNA from 1 species
UACGUAGGGUCCGAGCGUUGUCCGGAAUUACUGGGCGUAAAGCGUGCGUAGGUGGUUCGUUAAGUCUGUCGUGAAAGCCCCGGGCUCAACCUGGGAAUGGCGAUGGAUACUGGCGAGCUAGAGUGCGGUAGAGGAGAGUGGAAUUCCCGGUGUAGCAGUGAAAUGCGUAGAGAUCGGGAGGAACAUCAGUUGCGAAGGCGGCUCUCUGGACCAGCACUGACACUGAGGCACGAAAGCGUGGGGAGCAAACAGG